CCUACGGGUGGCAGCAGUGAGGAAUAUUGGUCAAUGGGCGAGAGCCUGAACCAGCCAAGUCGCGUGAGGGAGUACUGCCCUAUGGGUUGUAAACCUCUUUUGUCGGGGAGCAAAAGCCGGACGUGUCCGGCUGUGAGAGUACCCGAAGAAAAAGCAUCGGCUAACCCCGUGCCAGCAGCCGCGGUAAUACGGAGGAUGCGAGCGUUAUCCGGAUUUAUUGGGUUUAAAGGGUGCGCAGGCGGAUUUUUAAGUCAGCGGUAAAAUCGUGGGGCUCAACCCCAUCCAGCCGUUGAAACUGGGGAUCUAGAGUGUGCGAGAGGUAUGCGGAAUGCGUGGUGUAGCGGUGAAAUGCAUAGAUAUCACGCAGAACCCCGAUUGCGAAGGCAGCAUACCGGUGCACAACUGACGCUCAGGCACGAAAGCGUGGGUAUCGAACAGGAUUAGAUACCCCAGUAGUC
rnacentral:rRNA from 1 species